rnacentral:lncRNA from 10 species
CUCAAUGUCACUGAUUUCUUGCCGUUUUGGAAAGUGACAAUAAAUUGGCUACCUACCAUUCUUGACCUUUUGACUUUGGAACCUCUGCUGACCAAAUCUUAGCUUGCCUUGUUUAAGUCAGCAGCUCUGGUAUCAUUCUGAUCCUCUCCCAGAGGGUCUGAAGCUUUCACUCACGCUCCUGAACGGGUAAGCUCCCCCUCUAGUGUUCACUGCUCAUCAGAUUAUUCCUCUAACAAAUAAGACAGAGAAUUGCCUGUUUUUUUUUGGUUCCCUAUCGAAGGACGGAGCUUGGGCCAACAUUUAUAACGGUUUAAUGACACAAAGAGGAAAAGAGUUUUUAAAGAAUACUUCGCUGAAAUGA